rnacentral:RNase_P_RNA from 1 species
AGGCAAAAGGGCCCUAUCGCUGACGUCUCGAACGCCAGAGGAAAGUCCGGGCAACACAGAGCGCCGUGCUUCUUAAUAUGGAAGAUCUCCGUGAGGGGAUAGGAAACAUAACAGAAAACAACCGCCGCAGGUAACUGCGGUAAGGGUGAAAAGGCGGGGUAAGAGCCCACCGCCCGGGUAGCGAUACUCCGGGGCCGUAUGUCUGACGGGUUGCAAGACCAUGUAUACCGACGCCUGAGGGUUGCUCGCCCGAGUCGGAGGGUAGGUUGCUGGAGCGGCAGGGUGACCUGUCGCGUAGAUAAAUGAUAGGGAUCUCCUCGGAGACACAGGACCCGGCUUAUACCUUUUGCCUUUUU